rnacentral:misc_RNA from 1 species
GGUUCAUCUUCUUCUUCUUAUUCUGCUUUUUCUUGACUUGGCCCAUGCACGAAACUUUAGGAGAGGUGGGUUCUCGUGCAUCAAAGCUUAAACUCCUAGCUCUUCUCCGCACCUCCUUUGGAAUAAUUGAUACUCUUGGACUGGAAAACCCUUUUCCAGCAUUGGUUCUAACUGGACUAGGAGGUGGGCUCAGAAAGGUCACAGGAGUUGCUGCUUUCGGUAGAAUGCUUGAGAUUUUGCCUAUAAAUUUCUGCUGUUUCCCCAUCAAGAUCACCUUGCCUCUAAAGAAUUGGCGUGAAAAUCGAGUUUCAGGUUUGAGAAAGAGAGAAUUUGA